rnacentral:lncRNA from 1 species
CUUUGACCACCCGAACAUAGCGCCAAGGACGCAGCCACCUUAAUCUUUUUUUUCUUUUCCUUUUUUUUUAAUUACAGAGGCAUAAUAUACACAUAAGCAAAAAAAAAAAAAAAAAGAAGAAGAAGCGAGAGGGGGAAAGGAGGCCCAGCGAAGGCGGUAAAUGCAGCCCUAAUGCACAGAUAGCUGACAUCAACUUCCGUUAGCCAGCUCCUCGGGAUCGAACCUUUCGAUUGUAACUGGGACAAUUUGCAUAGUGAUUCCCUUUCAUAGCUUUCCCAGGUCCUUAACAAGCCCAGGCAGCUAUUCAAAUGCAAGGCUAGGCUGACCAAAAAAGAGCUACCCUACGACCAAGGAGAGAAGACAAAACCCCCGAUAAUCAUGAUUAUUUUUUCUUUUCUCUCUUUUCUCUUCUUUCUCUCUUUUCCUCCCUGUCCUUUUUCUCUCUCUUUUCUCUUUCAGAUUUAGCUGCGAGCUGUUUAUUUAUGGCUGGAAAUGUGUGUGUGAGAGAAAGAAUUGAUCUUUCCCCGAAUUUAAAGAUGGAGCAAAGGGCGCUGGAGGGAAUUUUUGUUUGCUUAUUUUGCUUAGACCCAGCUCACAAAUUGGGGGUGAUGGGGGAGGGAGAUGUCUGUUCCUCCCUCCACCCUUCACCUCACGACCUUCCUGGACCCCGAACCCCUGAGCAGCCUGGGCGGACCCGGACCCCGGAGGACUUGUCCAGCGGUCUGUUGCCUCGCCUGCUCCGAAGUGGGCUGCAGAAGAGGGCUUCACAGAGGGGGCCACCCCGACCCUUCUCUUUAAAGGAGUCCAAUAAAAGGGGGCAAUCCUAGGAUGCGAACCUGAUCGGAUGUCAAAGAGGCAACUUGCCAUGAAAUCCGCUAAUGCACCGCGACUCACCGGGGCCGUCUGCUUAGCAGCCCGAAGCCCUCCGGGAGGAUAUUGGGUCGAUAUUUGGGGGCAGCCGUCGAGGGCAGAGGGCAAAGGAGCGGCUUCUCCAUAUAGGGAGCGAAGGAUCUCAGGUUGCCAGAAAGAGAAGAGAGUUCUGGACCUGAUGAAAUGGCCGAACCUUGCUCAGCGGAAGGAACCAAGGCAUGUGGGGAGAAAACCAGAAAAGAUAAGGCUGGGAAAGUCGGUUCCGAGCUGCCAAGGUCCCAAGUUAGCCUGGAUCCUUGAAAGUGAUCUCCCAUGGGGGAAGUAAGCCAGCGUGGUGGAUGAAUCGUGAGGAGGUUACCUCUCAAUUUUUCCUCCCUUUUUUACAACGGAGCCUAUAUGUAUAUUUGUCCAACUACUAACAGUGCCCUCCUCUCCAUCCACUCCGCAAAAAACACCCUCACAACUCUCCUGGGCUGGGCAGGCAGCAAGAACUCGAAAGGCAGUGAGGAGAAUAACAAAGUCAGAG